rnacentral:lncRNA from 1 species
CUUUCCCUCUCCCUCCCCCUCUCUCUCCCCCUCACCUUCUCUCUCUCUCCCUCUCCUUCCCCCCUCUCCUUCCCUCCCUCUCCCCAGAGAUUAAAAGAAGUGCUUCAUGACUUGCCAUGGGGACUGUGAGGGCCAAGGCCACUGCUCAACAGGCGUUUCAUAUUGCAGUCGGAUAACCUGAUAAAGGCUUGGUUUGGAGCCCACCUUCCAAGGAUAGAAGGGACCACUCACCACUUUGCCCUUCAUUUUGCAGUUUACUUUAACUGGCUGAAAAGGAAACAUUGUAUUUUCUCUUUGAGCCUCAUACCUUGAGGGGAGAUGAUGGUUCUGAUGUCCCUAUGUGGGGCCAUAUCUUUGUUAACCCUAAAUGGAAAGAGACUAAGAGAGACCCUUGCUCUGCAGGCCUUUGUCAAGCACCUACCCAGUGACAGGCCUCAUUCUGAGCACUCUGUAGACUUUGUGUCAUUCGGUCUUCAUAUGGUGGGCUGAUAGACCCUGCAGCAAACAUGCCUGCUCUCUCCUUGUGCUCCUACAGAUCACACAGACAGAGGUCCAACAAGGACAGCAGCAGUUCAGCCAGUUCACAGACGGACAGCAGCUGUACCAGAUCCAGCAAGUCACCAUGCCUGCAGGCCAAGACCUUGCCCAGCCCAUGUUUAUUCAGUCAGCCAACCAGCCCUCUGAUGGGCAGACCCCCCAGGUGACUGGAGACUGAGGCCUGAGCUGCAAAGCCAAGGACCCCCAACACAAUAUUUGCCAUAGAGCCCCCAGGCGAUGGGGACACACCUUCCCUCACCAGAGGACCCGGGACUUCAUUGCCUCCUGCAGGCUAAGAUACUGGUGCACUACUCUCCACGCCUGGGGACUGAGAGCCUACAACAGAAAGAUGCAAUAUUUUUUAUUUUUUAUUUUCUUUUUUUCAUUUUUGUCUCCAAGGAAUCAAUAUUUCAAUAUAUCGAGCUAUGUGUCCAAUGCUAUGAAACGAGAAUAUUAAAUAACAUAUUUAUGGCAUUUUCUUGAAA